rnacentral:rRNA from 1 species
GCGUGGAGACAGGUGGUGCAUGGCUGUCGUCAGCUCGUGUCGUGAGAUGUUGGGUUAAGUCCCGCAACGAGCGCAACCCUCACCCCUUGUUGCCAUCAGGUGAUGCUGGGCACUCUAGGGGAACUGCCCCGGUCAACGGGGAGGAAGGUGGGGAUGACGUCAAGUCAUCAUGCCCCUUACGCCCUGGGCUACACACGUGCUACAAUGGCCGGUACAAAGGGAUGCAAUACCGCGAGGUGGAGCUAAACCCAGAAAGCCGGUCUAAGUUCAGAUUGGAGUCUGCAACUCGACUCCAUGAAGGAGGAAUCGCUAGUAAUCGCGCAUCAGCACGGCGCGGUGAAUACGUUCCCGGGCCUUGUACACACCGCCCGUAACACCACGAAAGCCAGCUGUACUCGAAGUCGCUGAG